rnacentral:lncRNA from 1 species
UAAAAUUAAGUUUCAUGUAUAUAUUCGAACCGCAAUCAAAGUUUCAUGUGUAUAAUUACAUUAAAUUAAAAUUCAUAUAUACAAAUACACAUUAAAAUAAAGUUUAUGUAUUCAUCUCUUUCUAAGUUAGAAUGUAGGUUGUUCUUCUCUUCCUUCCAACUGAGAAAGUGAAUCUUUCUUUUGUCUGCCUUGUGCUUCCACCAAAAAUUUCGGACAGCUUUGUCAAUAGAAUUACAAACAUUUAUAGGGCCGUGCGGAUUUGAUUACUGUUCAUUUUCCACCCGGUUAGAGGAAUCUCGCUCUUCAAUUCUGAAUCUGCCUUGGAUUUUGUCAAAAACGGAUGGGAAAAACUUCUUCUACGACAAGAAAUAAAGACUUAGCUCCAUUCAUCGAUUCAUUUUUUAUUCACAUUUAGGCCCAUUUAGAGGCAACAUUCCUUUCACAUUUUAACCAAGCAACUUUAUUUAUGCUUAUUUUAAUACAUAUCAUAUUCAUGAAACGAUAUUGCAUUAAUAAUAAACACUUAGUCCUUAGUAAACUCUAGCGGAAUGAGACUCAUAUAUUUACGAUUCUAAAUGAUCACAUCACACAUAUUCCACCAAUUAUGCAUCCAACUAAUGACCCAAGAUGCACUAAAGUGCUAUGGUGUAAGGCAUCACAUCGGUGUUCCAAAGCGCACACACUAAUCCUUAUGGCAUGCCAAUUGUAUCUUAAUUGCUCUACUAAGCUUACUAGAUCAGCUUACUUAUUUAAUUAAUUAAAAUCGAUGUCACAUGAUGAUUCUCAUGCACAUAUACACGUCACAUACACAUAUUCACCGAUUUUUAUUUUUAAACUCUUAUCGUUCUUCAAUUACCAAAUUCACUCUUUAAGAGCUCAUAAAACCAUUCAUUAACAAUUUAUACUCUUUUCACUUAUUCACUUAUCACUUAGGUGAAUUAUAUCACUAAUUCACAUUCAUAUAUAUAUAUAUAUAUAUAUAUAAAUAUGUCAAUAUGCAUUUCUCAACAAGGUAUUUUAGCCAUUACUUCACAAUUUCUCUAGCAACAUUUUACAUAUAUUAUCACUAUAUCUCAUUCUCAAUGCUCAAUACAACAUUUAAAUUUGCAUCUUAUGUAACACAUUUCUCAUUUUUCAGUUUCCACAAUUUAUCACAUCUUCUUCGUUGUAUUGCAUGGCUAAUUUUUUGCUAAUUUAUGACAAUUAAUCACAUUUUAUUAUUUUUUAAGAACACCUUUUUUACUCAAUAUACUACUGACAUUAAAAUUUUCAUAACACUUUAAUAGUUCUUUUUUUUAUGUAAUUAAAGUCAAAGCUUAUUACUACUGGAAUUUUCUUGCUAUUAAUGACAAAUUUCAAGCCAUGGUUUUUCACAUAAUAAUACACAUAAUCACUUCAACCCUUCAUUUUACUAAUUAUUCAAACUCGUAAUUAUGUUAUUUAAGAGAAAGAAAAUUCAAGUAUACUUACCUAGGUAAUCAUUAACAAAACAAGGCUUCUCUCUAACCCUUCAUUUUCACUUUCUCCAUGCUUGGAACCCUUCUCUCCUCUUCUUUCUCUUUUUCUCCACCCAACACAAGAAUAUACUCAAGUUAUCAAAGCAUGCUCAUCACGUUUUAAACACAACCUUAAAUAAAGAAGGUGAAAAUUCUGAAAAACAUGUUUCUUACCUUUACCGAAACUUUCUCUCUCUAGUCGAAGUUUUCUCUUUCUAAACCAUGAAACCCUAGACUUUAAUGAAGAAGAUGAUGGCAGGAAUGGGUUGAUUUAAAGAGGAGAUGAGAAGA